rnacentral:tRNA from 1 species
GGGGGUGUAGCUCAGUGGUAGAGUGCUUGCCUUGCAUGUGUGAGGCCCUGGGUUCCAUCCUCAGCACCACCU